CUUUCCUAGCAGUGUGCGUUUUCGCUUCUUUCCCCGGCGAGACGAACUCCCCGCAGUCCCCGCAGCGGUGAACGGCGGCGCUGCUGCCUCUGGACACCUGCGCAGCCGCGCGGAAGACCAUCAGGGCACAUACAGGGUGGUGGUUUCGAUGCAUCGAUUCAGGUUCCGAGAUCCCAGUAGAUAGGGUUCAACAUAGGGCUCGAUUCGAAAGUUGCGCAAUCACGCAUUGGAGGAGUCCCUGGUCACGGGAAUGGGGCCGUCACGUUGGGAGCCAGUGACGAACCUGCCACUUCAGUGCCGGUGACCUCUGGUUGUCGUCUAUGCUGUCCAAGCAAGAAACUACUUCCUGUAUUGUUGGCCUCAUGGAAGGAUUAUGGUUGACACACUGGCAAGCAACUUCAAGCAUCUUCAGCAUUUGCUCCUCAUACCCUGUGCCCCGGAGUGCUGAAUCCAGAACUUCAAUCUGCUUUCCUUCAGAUCUCAUUUCCAAUACCCACUGAACGAGUUCUUUUGACACAAAUGAGAUUGGAACAGGCCGCUGGCCUGUGAGCAGUUCAAGCAGGACUACGCCAAAACUGUAGAUAUCACCUCUCAGAGUAGCCACCCAUCCUUGCCCAUACUCA